AUUGUAUGUCUUACUUAUUUAUUCAUUUGACAUUUUAAUUAGACACUAGCAGUAUUGUUUUCUUUGAAUACAUUUAAAGGUCCUAGAUUUAUUUCUUUUUGAUGUUCAUCUUCUAACUCAUUCCCUCCUAUCAAUCUCAGACUGCUGUAAAUAAAUGAUUUUUUGCCUUUUUUUUUUACUAUUAGUUAUCAUAUUUAUUUUUCUUAAACAAGCUGUACUGGUUAUACAGUCUGAAUUUGGAGAAUAGACGUCUUCAUUCAGGAGGGGAAAUUGAGCCAAGUUUGAAUAUAAUCAUUGGGUAACAAAUCCAGAAGAUUAAGUUACUAAGGAGAACAUGCAAAGUAAACACUUGCAUUUUAUGAACUACCUUCAAUUUAAAUAGACAACUGGGUAACUGUAUAUGACAUGUUUUGGGAGUAAGACCUGUUAAACCUACCUACUUCCUACUGUUUUCAUUUGAAAAAUAAAUCAAUUAUUAAACAGUUAUUCUACACAUUAAAGACUGUAAGUGAUUUAACCUUG
rnacentral:lncRNA from 1 species